rnacentral:miRNA from 2 species
AGAACUCUUGCAGUCUUAGAUGU